UUCGUGUUUUGUUUUUAUCAUGUAGGGUAGUUACCCAUCAACAAACUUUAGAAGGAUCUUCUUCAGGUUCUUUUCUCAGGCUGAAAGAUUUCCUUAAAGCUAUAAGAUGGAUCGUGAUACUUGGAUGUAUGAAUUAUAACGUCAUGACAAAGAAUACCUGAUUAGGCUGAAAGAUUUCCUUAAAGCUAUUGAGGAUCAUCGAGUAAAAAAAGGAGAGAGUCAAAUUUGGUGUCCUUGUAAAAAGUGUCACAAUUGUAAAAUGUUUACCGAUUUAAAGUUAAUUGAAGAACACCUUAUAUGUGA